rnacentral:lncRNA from 1 species
AACGCUAGAAUUUAGCUGGAAACAUAAAACCCAACAAAUCCAAAAUGACGUAAUUGAUAAGAAUUUAUGAAGGUAAUCUUCUCAAGUAUGAAUAAAAAAAGAGAAAAACCCAAACAACAAAUAAAUAAGUCGAGAGGGAUGGAGUUAAGAUAAAAUAAGUGAAUAAGUAAACCAAUAUUUAAGCUUUGGAAUGCCCAUGAUAUGAUCAAACGACUAUAGAGAAUUAACAUAAAUGUUUUAAUCCUCUGGAAAUUAAUCAAAGAGACCACGACCAGAUAUUAAAUUGGGCAAUUUGACAACUAAAAGAACUGUAUGAAGUUAAACCAAUUCUAUCCAAUGUUUACAAUGAAAAGUGAUUUUAUUAAACUAACCCAAGUAUACUAAUGUACGUAAGAUUUCCAAACCGACUGUUUUAAGAAAGAGCUUGCGUCGACUCUUUAUAAACAACAUCAAAAGUUUGGCACCUUAUAUGAAAGAACGUCCCGACAAUAAUGAGAACAUGACGACUUUAAACUCGAUUUACCAAACUAAAAAGGGGCUAAGACGACUAUUAAUUCUAGAAAAAUUGCAAGCAUCGAGGGAUCACAUAUUCACCUCUAGUCCUUGUCAAAUUUGACACUUCAAAUCAAAUUUGACUUAGGAACUCAAGCAAAGUUGGCCAGCAGACUCUUGGAUUUUUUUACUUGGUGACAUGAAUUUAACAGAUCCUAAACAGAGAUGAUCAAUGGAGGUUUGAGAAGAUAAUAUUCAUACAACUUGGAGCAUAGAUUUUAAAGCCAAACAAACAAAAGUUAGGAGCUAAACUGCAUGAUGGAUGAGCACAAAGUCAUAACUUAAUCGCAUGUGUUCGUAACCCGUAAGUGAAACACGAUGGACUGUGAACGGACAUGAGUGAAAUGACUGAUUCAAGGUGUCUUAGCGAUUAAAAAACUGAAUUACGAGUAUCCCAGGUAAGAAAGCAAGACACCUGUGAUCACUGACUUUAGCGAAAUUGAUUUCUUAGAAAAUAGUAAUGACAGUUGAACAUUAAAAAGAGAAUUUACACUCUCUGAGAAAUUUAAACACGAUGUAUCAUCCUAUGAGUUGAAAAGAAAUGGGUGAGACACUUCUCUUGUGCAAAUUCCAAAAUCGAGGCUCAGGCAAUCUUUCGGAAGUUAAGACAUCCAACUUGUUUAUCUUAGCUCUAGAGCUCAAACUAGACUAAUUAUUUAAGCUAAUUACUUAUACUAAAAGAAAACAAAUUGGGACAUGCUUAGCCAGAGAAAAAGAUAUUCAAACUAGUUAAAAAAUAACUAUCUUUACAUUGAGUUGUCAAGCCUCGCUAAUCAUUCUUAAUGCCCAAGUUAACAAAAAAAAAGAAAUACUUUCAGAAGUUUAAGGCUUGUACAACCUGUUCUUAUGCUAAGUUAUAAGUUCAAAAUCACUUUUAAAUAAACGUCUAUCUUAAAAUAAUGACAACAAGAUGUCAUGUUCAAGUGUUCAUGCAAAAAGGUACUACAAUUCCGCUACAGACAGUUUGGUAAAGCUUUGACCCUUAAAAAAAUGAGUCAGAUUGUCACUUCAGCAUCGCCUUAACAGGUUUCAAAAUCACAGAAAAAUGAUAGCUCAUGGAUACCAAUAUGAUUCUGUGCAUAACACAGAAGGAAAAGUUUACGUCUAGAUUUUAACAUCUACAUUUACUUGAAAAUAUGUCAACAUGUUUUGUUAUCUUAUAUUUUUUGGAAACAGUUUUCAUGCCUAAUUUAAUGGCUGCGGGGGUCUUGUAACCUCAUGGACGAGUACAGGAAAAAAAAUUAAGAAACCAUUACCAUGUCAAAGUACCCAAACCAACGUUACACUAAAUUUUAAACAAUCAGUUACUCUACAAAUAUGCCUCAGUUUUAUCUAAACCAACUACCAGAAAGCUAUUUUUGCUUCAAGUUGUUGUUUGUAACUUGUCAAAUGAAAGACUAAGAGGGAACUUAGACAAACAACUUGCGCAUUGGGGAACUUAGACAGAUGUACAAGGAUGGGUCCAAACACUAGUUCAUGUGGCAAGCAGGUUAACAGAGUCGAGAACAUACUAAACCAACAUAAUUUUAGGGUGCAGUAAUGGACAAACAAGAUUCUGAUUUUGAUCCUAUUUAAAGGUUGUGACUUAUGCCAGCCACUUAGUACUUAGAGAGACCCUUAUAGGAAACGACAUGUCACACAUUACUGAUGCAAAAUAAUCAUAUUCAGAAAGAAACGAAAUGAGAAUAACACUUAAAAAUUAGAAAUUUGCAAGAGAAAAGAAAAAAAGGAACUUUAGAUCUAAGGUUAGUCCUUCAUAUUCAAGAAGACUUUACUGCUUUGAACUCAUAUGUAAUUAGACAUAUUACACAGAACAUCCCCACAUGAUAAUGCAUUCAAAUAGAGAUGGGUACUUUCGAAAAUAAUUAAAGGAAACAGAGCGAGUCAAAAUUGGGUGUCAACAGUUGCCCCUGAUUGACAAAAGAUUAGUGUGAAAAUCUUUGGACAAUCACGUUGACGUAACCCAUUUUGCCUCGGGCGAAACAAAAUAUUUGGAAGAUUAUGGUUGGGCUCCGAUUUCUGAGCUACCUAUAUAUCUCGGGUAUCAGGAAAAGUCAGGCCAUCUAUAGUUCAAACCAUAGCAAAAUUUUGAUAAAUAUCAAAAUUUACCCAGCGUGGAAUUAUGGUAACACUGGGUUCCCUUGAGGAUGAUAACAAAGAUUUUAGCAUGUAUGAAAUAGAUAUGAGUGCAUUUAUCCUAAAUUGGUUGUUUGAGAUGGCUGGGAAUGUGAGAUCGAUGGAUAGCAACAUCUGCUGAGGAUCUUGAGAGAAAAGGGGAUUAUGAACUUUUAAAAAUUGCUCAGUGUCAGAUCAAGACGACACUGGGCUAUGACGCUAGGAAAAUGAGAUGACUGAGCCGAGUUGAUUUGAGUUGAGUUUCUUCACCGGAAUCUUUGACGUAGCUAGGGAUGCUUGACAUUCCACUAGCUUGCCCUAGUUUGUUGCUAAGAGGGUAGGUCCACGUUGUAUUGCAUGGUCCUGCAAAAUAGGUUAAAAGAGUGAAAAGUACCUGUUGUUCAAAAAUUGUAAUGUAAAGAGUAGAGUUAGAUAUUCAAACUAGUAUUGUGAUAUCUAUUUGUGGAGGCCUCCGACUGGUGAGGCGAUAACUAAAAUGUAAAGAGCCUCCGUCGGCUGAGCAGUUGCUUGAAAGUAAAAGGCUCCGACUGGCGGGGCAAUUGCUUGAAAGUCAGAGCCUAUGUCGGCUGAACAGUUGUUGUAAAAUAAAAGCCAUCCGACUGACGAGCAAUUGAGCCAUCCGACUGGAGAGCAACUGGAGAAUAAGCCAUCCGACUGGUGUGCAGUUGUUGAAAAAAUACACACCAUCCGACUGGUGGGUAGUUAUUGAGAAGUAUGCGAUGUCUGACUGGCGAGCAGUGUUUGAAAAGUAAAGCCUCCGACGGUGAGACAUUUGCCCAAAGGUAAAUUGGCUUGUCUUGGCAAGGCGACCUUUGAUCUGAACCAGAUAAAUUAAAAUGAUGUAGUGACCAGGCCUGACUCGGUCUGCCUAUGCAUCCAAGUGUAAUCAGGUCAGGCCGUAGUUCAGUACAAUGAAAGGGUUAUAAUAUGAAGGGACCAAAUCCCAUAAGGAUUGCCUACGUAUCCCGUCAUGGAAAGUCAGGUCGAGCGUAGUUCUAAAUACAUAAAAGGAUAAUGUUUUUGGGUUUUUCUAAGGGAAACCGAACCCUAUAUGGGUUGCCUAUGUAUCCCACCGUGGGAAGUCAGGCGAAUACGUAGUUCUUUUACAUUAGAGAAAAAUGCAGAAGUACGAAAAAAUAACAAGUCUUAAUGUUUUCAAAUGUAUUACUUCUUGAUGGUGUUUGAAUUGAUCGGCUUCGUGCUUACUGUGUCGUCCAUCUCUGCAAGGAUCACUGCUCCCUCUGAGAGUACUCGAUGAACUAUGUAGGGACCUUGCCAAUUUGAUGCAAAUUUCCCUUUAGUUUCUCCUGGUGAGGAAAUAUCUUCUUCAAUACCAAUUGUCCAGGUGUGAAGGCUUGACUUUCUUGUUGAAUGCCUUGAUCAUUCAAUUUUGAUAGAGUUGACCAUGACACACUGCGUCUAAUAAGCAUCAAUUGUUCCAUUCAGCGUCAUCUAAACCGACCUCUUAGAUGACUCUCAGUGAGGGUAUCUCUACUUCUGCAGGUAUCACUGCCUCUGAACCGUAAAUCAGUAUGUAUAGAGUUUCCCUAGUGGAUGUUCUGAUUAUGGUGCGAUAGCCGAGCAAAGCAUAUGGUAGCUUCUCAUGCCAUUCCCUGUUGCCGUCUACUAUCUUCCUCAAGAUUCUCUUGAUAUUCUUGUUUCAGCUUCAACUGCUCCAUUCAUUUGCGGUCGAUAUGUCGUGGAGUUUCUAUGAGAGAUCUUAAACCUUUCACAAAUCUGUCAUUAGGUCGCUAUUGAGAUUGGCCCCGUUAUCUGUUAUGAUUGACUCUGGGAUUCCAAACCGACAAACUAAGUUAUUGCAGAUGAAAUCUGCUACCACCUUCUUGGUUACGACCUUAUGUGUUGAAGCUUCAACCCAUUUUGUGAAAUAGUCGAUAGCUACCAAGAUAAAAUGUUGUCCAUUGGACGCAGGAGGCUCUAUGAGCCCAAUAACAUCCAUGCCCCAACCAGCAAACGGCCAAGGAGAACCUAUCACAUUAAACGACGAGUACCGUAUAAAAUCCUCAUGAACUUGACAUUGGUGACAUUUCUACACGUAUCGGAUUCUAUCCUUCUCUAUGGUCAUCCAAAAGUAGGUACAAACAAACUCAUUUCGGUACUCGUCGUAACUCUCCAAACGGUUGUAUCUUCUGAAAAGGUAAUCCAACUUUAACUUCCCAUCUUCCACAUUCCUUAGUGAUGAAAAGAUAUCCAAUCCCAACAGACCCAAGAAAUGCAACUUCCUUACAGGUGACGGGAGUACCGGCAACUUCCCUCGAAGUAGUAGCUCAGCGAAGUCACUAACUUCUUCUAGGGUAAGGGUGAUCUCAAAAUCUAGAAACUUGAAGGUCAUAGUGUUCGGCUCCCAAAAUUCCAUCAAUAGCGUAAUGAGGGCUUUAUUAGCUCGAACCCUCAUUAGCGAUAAUAGAGCACCCAAGUGUUCCCGAACCUCCGCACCAUGCGCCACAAAGAUAUUUCUCCACCAGUUCUGCAGGUUAUCAGGGGUAGAGAUGACCAUUUGGAUAUUUGGCAAAUGACCAUUUGAAUAUUUGGCAAAUUUGGGUUAAUAUUCAUCUGAAAGGAAAAGAAAAGGAUAUGGUAAGUCAUUUACCUCAAAUCCAUUAUGUGUUUUAGUUUUGACCGUUCACACCAAUUUUCUCACAAAAAUAUGUCGACAGGUUUGUAACCUUUGACAAAAGGGUGGUUUCCUAAUUGAGAUGACGAUGCCUUGGACCGUCUCGCCUAAGGUGUAUGCGACAUGACCUAUUUAUAGAGUAAGAUUAUUUUCCUAAAUAUUUUAAGAGUGGGACUGAAUAGCUACGAGAAGGCGCAUUAACCUAAUUGUACCGACUCUGAAACUAAAGAAUCCAAAAAAGGUUUGGAGGAGUGUAAGACACCCCCGCAUGAACCACCGUGUGUAAAUUGUGUACGACCAAAGACUCGAUAGGAAAAUGUAAGUGAUAAAGCAGUAACAUGUAGUGUUGUUCAAACAAAUAAGGAACGCAAGUUUGGACUUGCCUUGCGUCCUUUCACCCAAAGCAUGAUAUAAACACAUGUAAAGCAAAUAAUACAAUAAAAGCAUAAAGAUCCUAAACUAAGCGUGUUAAGGUUAAAACCUAAGUUCAUUACAUCACCAGUAGAGUUGCCAUUCUGUCGCACUCUAUUUCAAACCGGUCGAAACAACAUGCAACAUGUGGUGGCGUGUCGUGACUCUCGGGUUUUGAAAAUUCAUUUUAGAGUCGCCACCUAACUUUUUAGGAAAACUAGGAAAAAUCGAUUUCUGUUUUGGCCUAUUGAAAAUAUUUUGAGAUUCUAAUAAAGGUUCUGGUUACUCGAGGGGAAGGUGUUAGGCACCCCUCAGAGCCUAUCUGAAGAUAGUCCUUACGCUUAGUUUAGGAAAAUAUUUGAAAAAAAAAAUUAUUUUGUUAUUUUCUAAACCAGUGAUAAGAAAAACUUUUAUUAUUAUUUUCUAUUUAUCAUUUUAUAUAAAAGAAAGAAAACUUAAGGUAUGACAAACUUGAUGCUAUCACGUACAAGGGAGUAAUAUCAUUAUUGCAAAAAUAAACAUGUAUUCUAGAUGUGAAAAGGGUGAUAUUAUAAUUUACACACAUAUUAAAAAAUGUAAGUCUUAUAAUUUCAAAGAAGGUUAUUUGAAUAUAUGUGAGGUUAAAUACAUCCUUAUAGAGUGAAUAAGGUACUUUCAUGGGUGUGAGAAUUUAUUUGCAAAACUAUACAUAUUUAAGAGCACGCGAAGAAUAUGUGAGAGAUUAUGAGUAGAUUAGAGUAAAACUAAUUGUAAUGUAAACUAUGAUAAAUAAUAAUAACGAUAAUAAUAAUAGCAAUAAUAAUAAUAAUAAUAAUAAUGACGAUGAUAAUAGUAAAGUGAUAAAAAUAGUUGUUACGAAAAUAGUAAAAUAUACCUUGUACGUAGUAGCGAAUGAAAUGUAUAUACCUCGUAUUUCUACCCCUGAAAAUUCGAACAAGUGUUGAAAAUAUAACGUAAAGCAUUCGAAUUAUAAAAAAAAGGUUAGAAUUAGCGAACACCUAAGAAUUUUGUGACCUGCUCUCCCCUGUGAGUUAGUAUUUGAAAUUCUAGUUUGUUAUUUUUUUUUAAGAAAAACAUGGAGAUUGUUACAUCCAUUUUAUUAACAAAUUAUUUUAUUUUUUAAGGUGAGAUAAUCAAUUAAACACUUCAUCAAAUUUUUCUAAAAAAGAAUUUGCUAAUCCUUAAAGAAAGUUUACCUUUGUGAAUUGAUUGACUGAGUGUCGAUCACAAAAAUAUGAUAACGCCAUCCUAUUUAAAGAUUUGAUACGUAACAAAGCUAUUAUAAACAAAUAAAGCUACCUCAAGCAAAUGUUACAACAAAAUAGAGUUAGUUAACAUCCAAAAGAAAGCGUAACAUAAUAUGAGUAAGCUAAAGAAAGAAACGGCUAGGAGUACUAGACUCCAUUUCAGAGUUCAAACUUUUAUCUCGCGCGACUCCGAGGCUCUUGUGAUCCUAGUAGCAUUUGACCCGAUAGUCGGGUCAAAAUGAGUUUCGAUUGAAACUCCAUCUCCAAGAUUAAAUAAAACAAAAAAUAAAAUAAAAUAAAGAUCAGUAACUAAAAUAACAAAAUAAAUAUAAUUUGUCGGUUAUGAAGAAACGCAUACUCAUGAAUACAUUUCACAUAAGAAUCGGGUAAGUGCUUAAGUUAAGCGAGUAUUUCAAACAAAUUUUCCUCGAAAGACUUUGCAUAUUAAUAGAACCUUAUCACUAACCUUCAACGCUACACCAUAGUGAUAAUAAAUUUCCUAAGAUCCAAAAGACUUUUCAAAGGAUAAUUUUAGUUUUUUCUCAAUGCAUAUCAAAGGGCUCAAAUGAUCAGGAAAACAUUAUUUCUUUAAACUUUUUUUUUGCUAUCCCUUAAUGAUGUUAAGAUACCUAUUAUACCCAAAACGUGAAACUCCCAACACAAAGUGGUCACUUAACCAUCAAAGUUAUUUAUUAAAAAAAAAAAAAAAAAAAAAAAAAAAAAAGGGCAGCCCGGUGCACUAAAGCUACCGCUAUGCGCAGUGUCUGGGGAAGGGCCCCACCACAAGGGUGUAUCGAACGCAGCCUUACCUUGCAUUACUGCUAAAGGCUGUUUCCAAGGCUUGAACCUGUGACCUCCCGGUCACAUGGCAGCAACUUUACCAGUUACUCCAAGGCUCCCCUUCAUCAAAGUUAAUUUAUAAACUUAACAAAUUCAUCAAAUUCCACUUAGAAUGGCGAAUAGAGUUAGUCAUGAACCCUAGAAAUUUAGCUGGAAACACAAAAUCCAACAAAUCCAAAAUGGUGUAAUUGAUAAGAAUUUAUGAAGGUAAUCUUCUCAAGUAUGAAAAAAAAAAAAAAAGAAACCCAAACGACAAAUAAAUAAAUCGAGAGGGAUGGAGUUAAGAGAAAAUAAGUGAAUAAGUAAACCAAUAUUUAAGCUUUGGAAUGCCCAUGACAUGAUCAAAUGACUAUAGAGAAUUAACAUAAAUGUUUUAAUCCUCUAGAAAUUAACCAAAGGGACCACGGCCAGAUAUUAAAUUGGGCAAUUUGACAAAAUUGUACCCACGUUGACAACUAAAAAAACUGCAUGAAGUUAAACCAAUUCUAUCCAAUGAUCACAACGAAAAGUGACUUUAUUAAACCAACCCAAGUAUACUAAAUACACGUAAGAUAUCCAAACCAAUUGUUUUAAGGAAAAGCUUGUGUCGACUCUUUAUAAAAAACAUCAAAAGUUUGACACCUUAUAUGAAAGAACAUCCUGCCAAUAAUGAGAACAUGACGACUUUAAACUCAAUUUACCAAACUAAAAAGGGGCUAAGACGACUAUUAAUUUCAGAAAAAAUUGCAAGCAUCGAGUGAUCACAUAUUCACCUCAAGUACUUGUCAAAUUUGACACUUUAAAUCAAAUUUGACUUAGAAACUAAAACAAAGUUGGCCAGCAGACUCUUGGAUUUUUUUUAGUUGGCUACAUGAAUUUAACAGAUCCUAAAUAGAGAUGAUCAAUGGAGGUUUGUGAAGGUGAUAUAUACUUACAACUUGGAGCAUAGAUUUUAAAACAAAACAAACAAAAGUUAGGAGCUAAACUGCAUGAUGGAUGAGCCAAAGUCAUAACUUAAUCGCAUGUGUUCGUAACCCGUAAGUGAAACACCAUAGACUGCGAAAGGGCAUGAGUGAAAUGACUGAUUCAAGGUGUCUUAGCGAUUGAAAAACUGAACUAUGAGUAUCAUAGGUAAGAAAGCAAGACACCUCUGAUCACUGACUUACCGAAAUUGAUUUUUUAGAAAAGAGUAAUGACAUUUGAACAUUAAAAAGAGAAUUUACACACUCCCUGAGAAAUUUAAACACGAUGUAUCAUCCUAUGAGGUGAAAAGAAAUGGGAGAGACACUUCUCUUGUGCAAAAUCCAAAAUCGAGGCUUAAGCAAUCUUUAGGAAGUAAAGACUUCCAACUCGUUUAUCUUAGUUCUAGAGCUCAAACUAGCGUCCUUAUUUAAGCUAAUUACUUACACUAAAAGAAAACAAACUGGGACAUGCUUAGCUAGAGAAAAAGAUAUUCAAACUAGUUAAAAAAUAACUAUCUUUACAUUGAGUUGUCAAGCCUCGCUAAUCAUUCUUAAUGCCCAAGUUAACAAAAAAAAAAGAAAUACUUUCAGAAGUUUAAGGCUUGUAUAACCCGUUCUUAUGCUAAGUUAUAAGUUCAAAAUCACAUUUAAGUAAACGUCUAUCCUAAAUAAAUGACAACAAGAUGUCAUGUUCUACAAUUCCGCUACAGAUAGUUUGGUAAAGCUUUGACCCUUAAAAAAAUGAGUCAGAUUGUCACUUCAGCAUCGCCUUAACAGGUUUCAAAAUCACAGAAAAAUGAUAGCUCAUGGAUACCAAUAUGAUUCUGUGCAUAACACAGAAGGAAAAGUGUACGUCUAGAUUUUAACACCUACAUUUACUUGAAAAUAUGUCAACAUGUUGUGUUAUCCUAUAUUUUUUGGAAACUAUUUUCAUGCCUAAUUUAAUGGCUACGGGGGUCUUGUAACCUCACAGACGAGUCCAGGAAAAAAAAUUAAGAAACCAUUACCAUGUCAAAAAACCAACGUCACACUAAAAUUUAAACAAUCAGUUACUCUACAAAUAUGCCUCAGUUUAAUCUAAACCAAACUACCAAAAAGCUAUUUUUGCUUCAAGUUGUUGUUUGUAACUAGUCAAACAAAAGACUAAGAGGGGACUUAGACAAACAACCUGCGCAUUGGGGAACUUAGACAAAGAUGUACAAGGAUGGGUCCAAACACUAGUGCAUGUGGCAAGCAGGUUAACAGAGUCAAGAACAUACUAACACCAACAUAAUUUUAGGGUGCGGUAAUGGACAAACAAGAUUCCAAUUUCGGUCCAAUUUAACGGUUGCGACUUAUGCCAGCCACUUAGUACUUAGAGAACCUUUUCGGAAAUGACAUAUAUCACACAUCACUGAUGCAAGAUAAUCAUAUUCAGAAAGAAACGAGAUGAGAAUAACACUUAAAAACUAGAAAUUUGCGAGAGAAAAGAAAAAAAAGGAACUUUAGAUCCAAGGUUAGUCCUUCAUAUUCAAGAAUACUUUACUUUUUUGAACUCAUAUAUAAUCACACAUAUCACACAGAACAUCCCCACAUGAUAAUGCAUUCAAACAGAGAUGGGUACUUUCACAUGCUCUUAAUCCUCAAAAAGAGAAGUAGUAAUGCGUCAAACAUAUUGAAAACAAAUAUUUGACAAGCGAUAUGAAUUCAGUCCUUCAGACAGUAGCAUUGAAAAGAAAAAGAAAACAGAAAUGAAGAAGACAGGAGGAAUUUAGAAGCAAAGCAACCAUAUAUUGACACAAAGGACAAUCAAGGCUAAACCAUGUUCUUGACCACGAAUUGCCAGAACUUGAUUUGUUGGAAAGCAGAUAGCAAUAUCAAUAUAGCUUGAAGCUAUAAAUCGCGUAUCACAGAACAAAAAUAGAUAGAUGAAAGAAAAAAAACUAGAUAAGGGGAUGGAUUUUACGCUCUACACUUCUAGACCAAACAUAACCUCUCCUAUUAUUAACUCUAAUCCACAUAUUAUCACACAUCUAAAGACAAACAACCUUACGCAACGACCAACUAGACUAAAUCAGAAGGCAAAAAAAAGAAUAGAUUUUUAUUUCAGUUUUUCAUGUCCAAUACCAUCAAUUAACAUCCCGAAUAAUUACUUGGUAUAUAAAUGGUUCAUAUUCUCAUUCACAGCCUACCAAAAUAAAAUAUAUUACUCCUAUCGAGACUUCAUAUUUAAGAUAUUCAGGCUAAAUAAUGAAAUAAGAUAUUUCAUCACAUAUUACAUGAUGGAUAAAAAUCAGAUAACUAGAGAAUGAAUCUUAAUUUAUACUAGUUAUUAAUAACAUGAGCAGCACACGUCAAACACAACGAACAGAGCACCUUUUAUUCUCAUCAAAUGGACAUGAAUUCUUUGCCCACCGCGAUGCAACACCCUAAACUAUUUUACUUACUGAUUUUAGUAAAACAAUAGCAGGAUACAUUAAGGCAAAGUUUAAGCUAGCGACAAAGUUACUUUAAGCAAUCAUAUAUACAAUGGACAACAAAUCUUCUCUUCUUGACUCCCAAGACUAAUCAAAAACCAAUUCUGUAAGGGAUCAUAGCAGCCCCUCCAUAUUGUGAUCAAAUGGGACUUUUUUUUACUGUAAUAUAUCAAUAGCUAAUAAACAGAUAAUGGUCCAAAUGAUUGAGAAUCCAAACAGUGAAGAAACAUGAAGUUAUAACUCUAUGUUGACCGCUUUUGCAUUCUUUUAAUCUUAUUUAGAUACACAAACCCACCUAUCAUCACUAAUCCUUUACCGUAAAUCGACAAAGGGAUGACUGAUAAUUCAAACUACGCAGUCACAUUAUUGUAUAUCUCGAACAGAUAGGUACUAAUCUAUGUGAGAUCAUAUCUUUAAUGGAAGAGGGGAAGAGAAUCAUUUAGUGACUGAUGUUCAUAUGGAUAUUUUCAUUACUAUCGUGAAAGGUAUUACGAGUUGCUCAUAAGUCGAAUUAUAUUCUACACACAUAAAAGUUCAUAUACUAUCCCAAAACCACACGAAAACAGUGAAGGGCAGCCCGGUGCACUAAAGCUACCAUUAUGCGCGGUGUCCGGGGAAGGUCCCCACCACAAGGGUGUAUCGUACGCAGUCUUACCUUGCAUUUCUGCCAGGGGCUGUUUCCAAGGCUUGAACCCAUGACGAACAACCAAGCAUUCCUGAAAUUUUAAGUCUUGUAGGACCCUUCUCAAGCUAAAUUAAUUGCUGGCAAUACGCAAGUCGAGCAUGUACAUAUUUAAGUCACCAUUACCAAAUCAAAACAGUUAAACCGACAUCGAAAUAACCCCUAAAAUAGUUCACGAAACAUGUAUCAAAAACUUACUGAUUUAAGGAGUUUAUUCUGGGAUGAUUCAAAUUCACAGUUGGCUUAUAAGCAUACCAUCAACUGUACAGGAUACCGAAUGGUGCAAUAAAUAUAGCUUUGAAUUCACCUUUGCAGGCAAUGAAACAAAACACCCAAUUUAUUAAAAAUUUUACAGAUUCAUUCAAGCAAGAUCGCAAACUAAAAAUGUGAACAAACGACCAGCCACUGCACUGUCUCCACUUCAUGAUCAUAUCUAGAAUUAACCCAACAAACUUGAAUGAUAAAUAAAUAGCAAAAAUUAAAUAUAAUACAAUUAUACGGGAUGGAAUUUACUCUUGCAGGUGUUCACAAGACCACCUCCGACUCGCAUCAAAACGUAAAAGAAAAUCUAAACAAUAGGGAUGGCAAACACCUAUACGCACAUAUUCAUAGAAAAACAUAUUCACUCACGAAACAAAUUUCGAAAAUCAAAAUUAUAUUUUAUCCAUAAAACUAACAAUAAUAACAAAAUCACCGACUAGAAAUCAAGGUGAAUGUCAUGUUCAUAGAAUCAAAAUAGAUGAGGAAAAGAAAACAAAAUGAAAUGAAGGAUGCUGAUUCGCACCUUUUUCCGGGUAGCGAAAUUGGAGCUACGACGACAAAGGUUUUUCAACGGCAAAUUCAACUCCGAGGAUUCCGAACGUCUGCACUCUAAUUUGCUGUAUUUUUCACUCAUUUUUUACACUAAUUUCACUCUUUCGUUAAUUUUCUUCCCUUGCCCCAAAGGAAUGGAUGAAACCCUCCUUUAUAGGCAUAUUUUGGAGUGUACAAGCUUCUCAAAAGGCUCUAAAUUGGACUCAAACUUGAAAUUCAAAUUGUUGAUGGGACAAUCCAGAGCUUAAACAGAUACGGUGAGGGGGGGAAAGAUUACCUCUUUCAAAUUGAUUUAAAGUAGAAAAUCGGGUGGAAAAACCUUAUCCUCCUAGGGUGUAGAUUUUCUCCUCUCCACCAAGCUAACAGUGGAGAGGAUGAGACUUCUGCGACCUGAAGAGUCAAAUAAAAUAGGAGAAGGGCGAGAUUUAUGCUGACAACCCCAUUUCCCGCUGAACCAUUUUGAAAAUUCAAUAAAUUUGAGGUGAGGGGGAUGGCUGCACAGGGGAGUGGUUGGAGUUUGUCGUAGGGGCUGUGUAGUGGUGUUGAAGAUGAAGAUGAUAAAAUGAAAGAGAUGACAGACAUGCUUUGAGAGAAAAGCCGUAUUUGGUGCUGCUUUUGUCCACUAAAAUUUGGAUUGUCCAUUGUUUGAUUGAACGGUUCAGAUUUAGUAUAAGAAUAAAAGAAAAUGAUAAAUUAUAUAUUUAAAUAUAAAAAUAAGUAAAUAAUUAGAAUUUUUGAGACUUACCCGACUAGAAAUAAUUUAAAGGAGUAGAUCAAUUUGUGUGGAAUGGCAAAGCGUUGUCAAAUUUGACACUUCAAAUCAAAUUUGACUUAGGAACUCAAGCAAAGUUGGCCAGCAGACUCUUGGAUUUUUUUACUUGGUGACAUGAAUUUAACAGAUCCUAAACAGAGAUGAUCAAUGGAGGUUUGAGAAGAUAAUAUUCAUACAACUUGGAGCAUAGAUUUUAAAGCCAAACAAACAAAAGUUAGGAGCUAAACUGCAUGAUGGAUGAGCACAAAGUCAUAACUUAAUCGCAUGUGUUCGUAACCCGUAAGUGAAACACGAUGGACUGUGAACGGACAUGAGUGAAAUGACUGAUUCAAGGUGUCUUAGCGAUUAAAAAACUGAAUUACGAGUAUCCCAGGUAAGAAAGCAAGACACCUGUGAUCACUGACUUUAGCGAAAUUGAUUUCUUAGAAAAUAGUAAUGACAGUUGAACAUUAAAAAGAGAAUUUACACUCUCUGAGAAAUUUAAACACGAUGUAUCAUCCUAUGAGUUGAAAAGAAAUGGGUGAGACACUUCUCUUGUGCAAAUUCCAAAAUCGAGGCUCAGGCAAUCUUUCGGAAGUUAAGACAUCCAACUUGUUUAUCUUAGCUCUAGAGCUCAAACUAGACUAAUUAUUUAAGCUAAUUACUUAUACUAAAAGAAAACAAAUUGGGACAUGCUUAGCCAGAGAAAAAGAUAUUCAAACUAGUUAAAAAAUAACUAUCUUUACAUUGAGUUGUCAAGCCUCGCUAAUCAUUCUUAAUGCCCAAGUUAACAAAAAAAAAAGAAAUACUUUCAGAAGUUUAAGGCUUGUAUAACCCGUUCUUAUGCUAAGUUAUAAGUUCAAAAUCACAUUUAAGUAAACGUCUAUCCUAAAUAAAUGACAACAAGAUGUCAUGUUCUACAAUUCCGCUACAGAUAGUUUGGUAAAGCUUUGACCCUUAAAAAAAUGAGUCAGAUUGUCACUUCAGCAUCGCCUUAACAGGUUUCAAAAUCACAGAAAAAUGAUAGCUCAUGGAUACCAAUAUGAUUCUGUGCAUAACACAGAAGGAAAAGUGUACGUCUAGAUUUUAACAC